rnacentral:rRNA from 1 species
UACGUAGGGUGCAAGCGUUGUCCGGAAUUAUUGGGCGUAAAGAGCUCGUAGGCGGUCUGUCGCGUCGGCUGUGAAAACCCGGAGCUCAACUCCGGGCCUGCAGUCGAUACGGGCAAACUGGAGUGUUGCAGGGGAGACUGGAAUUCCUGGUGUAGCGGUGGAAUGCGCAGAUAUCAGGAGGAACACCGAUGGCGAAGGCAGGUCUCUGGGCCACUACUGACGCUGAGAAGCGAAAGCGUGGGGAGCGAACAGG